rnacentral:tRNA from 1 species
CAAGAAAUAGUUUAAUUAAAAUUUUAAUUUUGGAGAUUAAAGAUGGGAUAAGUAUUCUUUUCUUGA